rnacentral:rRNA from 1 species
UGCGCAGGCGGUUUGCUAAGACAGGUGUGAAAGCCCCGGGCUUAACCUGGGAAUUGCGCUUGUGACUGGCAGACUGGAGUGUGGCAGAGGGAGGUGGAAUUCCACGUGUAGCAGUGAAAUGCGUAGAGAUGUGGAGGAACACCGAUGGCGAAGGCAGCCUCCUGGGCCGACGCACUGACGCUCAUGCACGGAAAGCGUGGGGAGCAAACA